rnacentral:rRNA from 1 species
UACGAAGGGUGCAAACGUUGCUCGGAAUUAUUGGGCGUAAAGCGCACGUAGGCGGCUUAGCAAGUCGGAAGUGAAAGCCCUCGGCUCAACCAAGGAAGUGCUUUCGAAACUGCUGAGCUUGAAUACUUAAGGGGAUCGCGGAAUUCCCGGUGUAGAGGUGAAAUUCGUAGAUAUCGGGAGGGACACCAGUGGCGAAGGCGGCGAUCUGGGAAGAUAUUGACGCUGAGGUGCGAAAGCGUGGGGAGCAAACAGG